GCAAGAUGAAGCGUUGAAUUGAAGCCCGAGUAAACGGCGGCCGUAACUAUAACGGUCCUAAGGUAGCGAAAUUCCUUGUCGGUUAAAUACCGACCUGCAUGAAUGGCGUAACGAGAUGGGAGCUGUCUCAACCAGAGAUUCAGUGAAAUUGUAGUGGAGGUGAAAAUUCCUCCUACCCGCGGCAAGACGGAAAGACCCCGUGGACCUUUACUACAACUUAGC
rnacentral:rRNA from 1 species